AAUGAACGUUGGCGGCGUGGAUUAGGCAUGCAAGUCGUACGGACAACGGGAGCUUGCUCCCCGAGUUAGUGGCGAAAGGGAUAGUACAAUAUAGAUCAUCUGCCCCCCGGUCGUGGAUAGCUACGGGAAACUGUAGGUAAUACACGAUGAUCUCUACGGAGCAAAGGUGUGAUUCCGCCUGGGGAUGAGUCUAUAGCCUAUUAGCUUGUUGGCGGGGUAAUGGCCCACCAAGGCUAUGAUGGGUACGAGGCGUGAGAGCGUGUCCUCGAUCACUGGGACUGAGACACUGCCCAGACACCUACGGGUGGCUGCAGUCGAGAAUCUUCGGCAAUGGACGAAAGUCUGACCGAGCGACGCCGCGUGAGCGAUGAAGGUCUUCGGAUUGUAAAGCUCUGUAAGUUGGGAGGAAAUGUACGGGAGCAAUCUCCUGUACUUGACCUAUCUUCAAAGUAAGGACGGGCUAAGUUCGUGCCAGCAGCCGCCGUAAAA
rnacentral:rRNA from 1 species